AGAGUUUGAUCAUGGCUCAGAACGAACGCUGGCGGCGUGCUUAACACAUGCAAGUCGCGUGCGCAGUUGCCGUAGCAAUACGGUGAUGGGCGCACGGCGCACGGGUGCGUAACACGUGGGCAAUCUGCCCUCUGAUGGGGAAUAACCCGCCGAAAGGCGGGCUAAUUCCGCAUAAGAUUCCCGAGACUUCGGUCUUGGGAUUGAAAGCAGUAAUGCGUCGGAGGAGGAGCCCGCGCCCGAUUAGCUAGUUGGUGAGGUAAUGGCUCACCAAGGCAAUGAUCGGUAGCUGGUCUGAGAGGAUGAUCAGCCACACUGGAACUGAGACACGGUCCAGACUCCUACGGGAGGCAGCAGUGGGGAAUCUUGCACAAUGGGCGAAAGCCUGAUGCAGCGACGCCGCGUGGGGGAUGAAGCAUUUCGGUGUGUAAACCCCUUUCGACUGGGACGAAUGCCUCGCAAGAGGAGUGACGGUACCAGUAGAAGAAGCCCCGGCUAACUACGUGCCAGCAGCCGCGGUAAGACGUAGGGGGCCAGCGUUGUUCGGAAUUACUGGGUGUAAAGGGUUCGUAGGCGGUGCGGCAAGUUGGGAGUGAAAUCUCUGGGCUUAACCCAGAGGCUGCUUCCAAAACUGCUGUGCUCGAGUGUGAGAGAGGCUCGUGGAAUUGCAGGUGUAGCGGUGAAAUGCGUAGAUAUCUGCAGGAACACCCGUGGCGAAAGCGGCGAGCUGGAUCACUACUGACGCUGAGGAACGAAAGCUAGGGGAGCAAACAGGAUUAGAUACCCUAGUAGUCC
rnacentral:rRNA from 1 species